rnacentral:lncRNA from 1 species
UGGAAAAACCUCAGGGGGUGUAGAUUGAUGAAGUUAUCCCUACUUAUUAAUUAGCAUAUUAAUGUUAUGAAGUGAUAUUGUUUUUAUUUUUAUUUGAAUUCUUUUUGGAUUAGUAUGGAGUGAUUUUAGUGCUAUAUAGGGAAUUUGAUUGGGUUAACAAGUUUUCGAAUUUGAAUUAUUGCAUUAUUUGUUGAUAAACUUCUUCAAGCCAUCGAGUUAUUGUCAACAUUGAUAAUUGGCAAUUACGUAUUGCAUCAUCAAAGCUAUAUAUUCGAUUCAUUGUGUUCCGAAUUACGUCAUUGAACUAAAUUGUGUUAUCAAGGCGAGAAAAGGUGAGUACUAUGUUUUUCGUUAUUGUGUUGAAAAUGAAUUGAAAGUGAUUGAAGUAGAUAUGAGUAUAUAUGACAAGGUUGUCAUAAUUAACUUUCACGAAGUUGUUGAACUCAAAUAAUCUAUAUUUUUAUAAAAGAAUGAUGAGAUGAUCAUAUAUUCUGUAUCAUAAUCUUUUUUUCAUAAUAAUAUUCAAUGAGAGAAUGGUUGAUCCACAUUUUAUUUUCGGUGUGACUUUAAUACGUGCAUAAUAAAUUUGAAAAUGAAAAAUAUUUUCUGCUAUUGCAAGUGAAUUUGCUUUGCUCUGAUUUUUUGACAAAAAAUACAGCAAUAUAUUGACGGUUUGUGAACAUAAUGCGAUUAUUUUUUGCAAUUUGAUAUUCACAAUUGUCACUUUAUGAUAAAUUUAUCAUAAUUUCUUCAUAUUUUUCGCAAUAUUGAUUCAGUUAAAACUUAUUAUGAGUUUACCACAAGUAAAACAUAGUUUACGCAAUGUGACAAAUUGUAUCAUGUACGUAUCACAAUUGUUGGUUAUUUUGCAUGGACUUUUUUAUUCUGAUUUUUAUAUGCAUUGUGACAAUACAUAUUUUAUGAUAAGUUUAUCAUAAUCUGGAUAAAUUAGAAACAUUAUUAUAACUUGGAGUUUUAUGAUAAAUUUGUCAUAACCUGAACCAAAAAAUGCUAUAAAUGGUAUAAUACGACUAUGAUAAUAUUUUAAUAAAAAGAUAGUGGAAAAGUGAAUCCUAAUGCUGGGCCAUAUAUGAUGAAUUUAUCAUAUUAAAUUCAUUACGAUUAAUUUAUAUUACGAAUCGAUUUAGAAUUUUAUAAGAGAUUUUAGGGAAAUACAGAAUAGAAAUGUAUGAGAUAUUUUAAGAAAAAAAUUAUGAAAUGAGAAGCUAAUAGACAUUUUAGGGGGGGAAUAAAAUAAGAUAAAGUGAGAUUUUAGGGGGGAAAUAUAGGUUGGGAUUGGAUGGAAAGUUAAAGAGAAAGUUUAGGAAUCUUUUAAAGGGCUGUUAGAUAUAUAUAGGGUUAGUUUUGAUAUUAUUUGAAUGUAAGGAGACUGUGCUUAACUUUUUAAAAUGAUCAAAAUUUAUCUAAAAGAUUUGGACUUCAAUAGUAGUUGGCCCAAGAAUCCCAUUAAAAUUAGACAACUAGGUUACAAAAAGUAAACAUUAAGAGGAUGUUUGGUAAUGUUUCUGUUUUUUGUGUUUGUUUAAUUUUUUAUAAAACAAAAACUAAAAUUAUAUUUGUAUUCACUUGUUUUAAAACUAUUUUAAAAAAUAAAAAUAUGUUGGUUUCACCUAUUUUUAAAUUAUUUAAAAAAAAAAGGCGAGGGGAGGGGGGGGGAGAAGGGGGGGCGGGAGGAGCCGGGGGGAGGUGAGGAGGCCCCCUCCUUUCCCGCCCCCCUAUUGGGGGCGGCUGGGGAGGAGGUGGGGGUGGAGUGGGUGGCGGCAAGUGGUGAGAUAAGGACGGGUGGAGGAGAGAGGAGGCCGGUGGGGUGGUUUAGUGGUGGAGAGGAGGUGGUGGAGGUGAGAGGUGGUGGUGGAGGAGAGGAGGAGGAGGUGGUGGUGAGGCGCGGCGACAGUAGAGGCGGGUGGUGGAGGAGGAGGAGAGCGCGGUUGGUUAGUGGUUUGGCCCUGAGGGGGAGGGAGGAGAUCCAGGGGGAGGUGGGGGUGGAGGGGGUGGGUGGGGUGGGCGUGGGGUGAGGAGGUGGUGGUGGGAGAGUAGGAGGACGGGUGGCGGGGGGGGGGUGGUGGUGUGGGGAGGAUGGUGUUUUUUGUUUUGGGUUUUUUCGGAGGCGGGUGAUGAGGUGGUGGAGGAGGAGGAGGUCAGUGGAGGUGGAGGUGGUGGUGGUGGUUGAAAAAAAUUGGAUAAAAAAAUUUUAUAACAAAAACAUAAAUAACUUGGUCUUAUUUUCACUAUUUUCAAAAAUAAUAAAAAUUAUGUAGCCUUGUUUUCAUUUAUUUUUUACAACACAAACAAGUUUUCUGUUUUCAUUAAUAAAAACAGAAAAACGAAAACAGAAAAACGAAAAUUAAACAGUUACCAAACAUCACCUAAACAAACAAGAUUUUAUUUCGGAAGAAUAAAAAAAAAACUUCUUAUAAAUAAUUUUUAUUGUAUUUUGAUAUUAUUUUAAGUCAUUAAAUGUGAGCGGCGGCUUAAAAGUAUUUUUUUAAUUUUUAAAAAAAAAAUUAAAAUUAUUUACUCCAGGCCAACCAAUUGGGGCUUGAAUCCCCAACCUGCGUAUUUUAAAAUGGUCUAGCGGUUAAAAAUUGUCGGACAAAACAAAAAAGUGCAAGUAGUAUCAAACUCAACCAAUUGAAAAAAAAUUCCCAACCGAUAGGGAUAGAGCAAAUGGGAUACAACACAACCCUCCAAAUGGUUGAACCCAUGGCCAAUCGGUUGACUCUGAAGAAACACAGCCUUGAAGAAAGCAGGCCAACCGCCUCUAGUUUCACCUUUUGAAGAUGGUUGCGAAAUACAAAAGUCAACAUGAAGGGCUACUUUCCAAGGGUCUGUUUUUGUUGGAUCUGUUCCUGCUUAUAUCUUUCAAAGCCCAUAUAGAUGGAGGGAAUCAUGAUUGAGAGAGCUCAAAGCCCAUAUAGAUGGAGGGAAUCUUAGUAUUGAAGAGAGCUUAGAGCAUAAGACACUUUUGUUUUGGGGAAUUCUUCAUAUUCUCUCUUCCUUUACUACUUUUUACAUUUUUGUUUUUUCAAUUCUUAGUUUUAAAUUAGAUUAGGUUAGAUUGAGUUUAGAGUUAGAGAGAGUUGAAGAAAGGUAGAAGAAGAUUGAUUUUAAGUUGAAAAUUUAUAAUUUCUUGAUUCUACUAUUUUGAUUGAAUAGUUGCAUGCUUAAUUUAUUUAAGUAGUUGAUUUUCAUUUAUGUUAUUGAAUCUCCAUUUCCUUUUUAAAUUUGUGUUAGUUUCUUUUGUUUUAUUUUUUUAUUUUUUAUACAUGAUUGAGUCUUUCACAUCCACGGAGGGCUAAGUAUAUUGGCUUGGUUCAAGAACUAUAUCUUAUUCCAAUGCAUAGUUUAGCUUGUUCUCUCCCUUUAAAUGAUUCAAUGCUUGUUUUAGGCUGAUUAAUGGUCUUCUUAAGAUCAAAACUAAGAGUUGUAUAAAAUUUUGAUUAUUUAUCAAUAAAUUCACUUAGUAGUACAAGCAAUGCUUAAAUCUCUUGCACUCUAGGUAUUUGAAACAUUUUACAAGGCCAUUACAAUCCCUCCAAACAUCUUUAAAGACAAAAUUAUUUUAUUACAUAGUGAUAAAAAUACAUGAAAAGUGUUUUAUUCUAGUAUAAAAAUAUCUUAAAAGAUGCUUAAGGUAAGAUUUCCAAUAUUAUUUGAGGUCUUUUAUCUUCCUGAGAAGAAAAAUUGAACCUUCAAAAACCUUGAUUUUAAGCAUCUUUUAAGUAUCUUUAAACUGAAAAGAAACUUUAGAAGGGGUUUUUUUUUUACCAAUUAUCCCUAAAAGAAUCAUUUUAUGUUUUGCUACUCAAUAUUCAACUUUCUAAUGAAGGUUGCAAUUCAUUUUAUGCUGUGUUCGGAAAGUAAAGAAUUUCUUAUUUUUUGCUUUCUUAAGAAUUUGAAAUAAAAUGAGAAGGAAAAUUACUUUCAUUGUUUGGUUUUAAAGAAAAGAGGAAAAAAAUGAUAUAACAAUUUAAAUUAAUAAAGGAAAUAUAUAAAGGAAAGAAACAUUUUCUCCUAAAGCCAGAAACCAAACAAGGAAACUAGGAAUUUUUUUGUUUUCUACUCUUUAUAAUUUCUUUACUUAAGGUCCAAACAAAGCCUUAAGACGAAGCAAGUUUAUAGUAAUGUUUGUUAAUUGUUUAAUUUUUAUAUUUUUGUUUUUGUUUUGUUUAAUUUAUUAAUAAAAAUAAAAAAUUUGUUUGUGUUGCAAAAAAUAAAUAAAAAUAAGGCAAAAACUAUUUUUACUAUUUUGAAAAUAGUGAAAACAAAAAAAUUUUAUUUUUAUUUUGUUUAUAAAUUUUAUUUAUAAAUUUUUUUUAUCUAAAUUUUUUCAACCACCACUACCUUGGGUGCUAUUUCUCUAUUCUUUUGUUCUUUCCAAAUAAUUUCAAUGUUUUUCUUGCAACACUUGUGGGAUUGUUCAAAAAGUUUAUAUAUCCAUUAUGUGGACAAAGAUAUUACCCAUGGAAAUGAAAUUGUACCUUUUGGCAUAGGCGAUAUAUAUUCCAUUUUUGCAGGAGAUUGUAUGGACCCAUAAUAUUCUGCCACGUGUUAAAAUAGCAAAAGCAGUAACGAAGGGAAUCUUGAGAUGUAUUGUUGAUGUGGAGUAAUUUGACAGUCAUGAUGAGAAAGGUGGAUGGUUGGAUGUGACCCAACAAAGCGAUGUUUGUAAUGCUCCAUCGAUGUCAAUUUUUAGUUAAAUAAAUUUUGAAGGAUGAUAGAUCUUAAUAUAUACAAAAUAAUUAACUUAUCGAUUCUCAAUUCAUGAACUGCGUGAUUGAAAGAGUUGUUUGUUGAAAUGGACAAGGACUGAAUAACACUAACCAGAUUGGCAUAUAUAUUUGAAGUACGAUAAUUUUUUAAUAUCAAUCUUAAAUAAAAAAAAGAUUCACUAGCUAAAUCUAUGUGAUACUAUAAUUUAUAUUCUUGUUGAAAUUGCCAAAUCAAGAUGCAUGAAAGCAAGGAGAUUGUAACGAAGA